rnacentral:rRNA from 1 species
UGGGGAAUCUUGGACAAUGGGCGCAAGCCUGAUCCAGCCAUGCCGCGUGAGUGAAGAAGGCCUUAGGGUUGUAAAGCUCUUUUGCCGGGGACGAUAAUGACGGUACCCGGAGAAUAAGUCCCGGCUAACUUCGUGCCAGCAGCCGCGGUAAUACGAAGGGGACUAGCGUUGUUCGGAAUUACUGGGCGUAAAGCGCACGUAGGCGGAUUGCUAAGUCAGGGGUGAAAUCCCGGGGCUCAACCUCGGAACUGCCUUUGAUACUGACAAUCUAGAGUCCGAUAGAGGUGGGUGGAAUUCCUAGUGUAGAGGUGAAAUUCGUAGAUAUUAGGAAGAACACCGGUGGCGAAGGCGGCCCACUGGAUCGGUACUGACGCUGAGGUGCGAAAGCGUGGGGAGCAAACA